CUGCUCGACGGUAUUCGAAUAUCACAAGGUGUGUAAUCGAGAGCCGCAUUUGAAUGCGUUCGGCGCGUCGGUCGGCUUCGGCUCGCUCGGUUAUUUUACGGACCUGGAUGCCGUUACUGGGCGCUUGCCGAGGCUUUUUGUACCGACGACGAUCUCGAACCGGCUCUGCGCGCGCGAAAGCGUUCGCGCUCUCGCGCGCUCACCUGUCGGCGACGCUUUUGCUUUGGGUACUUUCAGGACCCGUCUUGAAACACGGACCAAGGAGUCUAACAUGUGCGCGAGUCAUUGGGUUUUUUUAUAUUAUAUUUAAAGCCUAAAGGCGCAAUGAAAGUGAAGAUACGGCAGGCAUUCGUGCCUGAGCCGAUCGAGGGAGGAUGGCCCGCGUC
rnacentral:rRNA from 1 species